rnacentral:rRNA from 1 species
UACGUAGGGACCAAGCGUUGUUCGGAUUUACUGGGCGUAAAGGGCGCGUAGGCGGCGUGGUAAGUCACUUGUGAAAUCUCUGAGCUUAACUCAGAACGGUCAAGUGAUACUGCUGUGCUAGAGUGCGGAAGGGGCAAUCGGAAUUCUUGGUGUAGCGGUGAAAUGCGCAGAUAUCAGGAAGAACACCCGUGGCUAAGGCGGCUCUCUAGUACGGUACUGACGCUGAGACGCGAAAGCGUGGGGAGCGAACAGG